rnacentral:rRNA from 1 species
UACGAAGGAUGCUAGCGUUGUUCGGAAUUACUGGGCGUAAAGCGCGUGUAGGCGGGCCGUUAAGUCGGGGGUGGAAGCCCAGAGCUCAACUCUGGAACUGCCUUCGAUACUGGCGGCCUGGAGCAUGAUAGAGGCGAGUGGAAAUGCGAGUGUAGAGGUGAAAUUCGUAGAUAUUCGCAGGAACACCAGUGGCGAAGUCGACUCGCUGGAUCAUUGCUGACGCUGAGACGCGAAAGCGUGGGGAGCAAACAGG